AGGCUGCAACUCGCCUGCAUGAAGUUGGAAUUGCUGUAAUCGCGAAUCAGAAUGUCGCGGUGAAUACGUUCCCGGGCCUUGUACACACCGCCCGUCACACCAUGAGAGUCGAUAACACCCGAAGCCUGUGAGCUAACCGUAAGGAGGCAGCAGUCGAAGGUGGGGUUGAUGAUUGGGGUGAAGUCGUAACAAGGUACC
rnacentral:rRNA from 1 species